UUCGUACUGUGAAGCAUCCUGUUAAGUCAGGCAACGAGCGAGACCCACGUCCACAGUUGCCAGCAUACCCUCCGGAGGUGAUGGGUACACUGUGGAGACCGCCGCUGCUAAAGCGGAGGAAGGAGUGGGCAACGGUAGGUCAGUAUGCCCCGAAUCUCCCGGGCUACACGCGGGCUACAAUGGUUGGUACAAUGGGCAUCUACCCCGAAAGGGGAAGGAAAUCUCUUAAAGCCAAUCGUAGUUCGGAUUGAGGGCUGCAACUCGCCCUCAUGAAGCUGGGAUCCGUAGUAAUCGCGUUUCAACAGAACGCGGUGAAUACGUCCCUGCUCCUU
rnacentral:rRNA from 1 species